UCAAUUUUCGCGCGUUCUGGUCCGGGUGGGAUUCCAUCCGGAUAAUAGGGAACGGGGUGCGGCCAUUGCGCCAAUUCCUCGACUGCCCCCGCAACUGUAAGCGGUGAGCUUUGCCGGCACAUGCCACUGUCCUAAAAGGGAUGGGAAGGCCCGGUUUGGCGUCGAUCCGAGAGUCAGGAGACCUGCCAGAGCGAUCACCCUGUC
rnacentral:ncRNA from 2 species